GUGCCAGCCGCCGCGGUAAUACGUAUGUCACAAGCGUUAUCCGGAUUUAUUGGGCGUAAAGCGCGUCUAGGUGGUUAUGUAAGUCUGAUGUGAAAAUGCAGGGCUCAACUCUGUAUUGCGUUGGAAACUGUGUAACUAGAGUACUGGAGAGGUAAGCGGAACUACAAGUGUAGAGGUGAAAUUCGUAGAUAUUUGUAGGAAUGCCGAUGGGGAAGCCAGCUUACUGGACAGAUACUGACGCUGAAGCGCGAAAGCGUGGGUAGCAAACAGGAUUAGAAACCCCGGUAGUCC
rnacentral:rRNA from 1 species